CAAGAGCACCUCCUCAAGCUGGGCAGGGGGAAAUGGCAUACCCGAUCCACACCCAAACAUCCUCCUCUUCUCUGCUGCCAGCGGCGGUGAUCAGCAGCUGACCUCCUACUCUCUAUCUGAUGAUAUUGAUUUCUGGGACCCAGACCUCUAACGGAUGCUAUUACACCUAAAUGAAACAAGAUCUACCUUAAAAUGUCCAGGCUUGCAGCUCUCUCCAGGAACAAAUGAAACUGUCAGGUUUUGCAAAAGUUUUGUGACUCUCAGCCUUGCCUUUCGUCCUGCUCCCAGAGAGACAUCCACCUCUCACGCUGCGCUACUCCCAAGUGUAUACUGCACAUAGUGCCUCCAGUGAGUCCUCAUAAAUGGACAAUGCAGCCAGAAUGGAUGGAUGCCUUGUUCUGUCACUGGAUGCUAUGCACUUUGGUCAGAAGCUUGGAAAAUUGUUUCUUCCUUUGCCUGGUUAUAGCCAUACUAUAAAUGACAGAUACAAUGUGUGGGGAGAGCUACGACCUCAGAUGAUGAAUUAGAAUUAAUGAGAGCUUAAGAAGGCUGCUAAAUAUAUAAAAAAAUCAAUUAUAACCUCAUCUUACAGAAAAACACUAUUAGAAAGCAAAAUUAAAAAUUUUACUAUAACAUAGUAUAGGAGAAGAAAUAAUUUUCCUCUAUCCAUCUUAAAUUUUCAGCUGGGACUUUGUAACAAAGGACAGAUUAACAAGAAAAAAGCACAGAAAUUUGGUUAGAUAAGUUUUAGAUGACACAGGAGCCCUCAUAAGGAAAUGAAGACCCAAAGAAGUGGCAACAUCUGAGGGCUUAUGUAUUAGGUUGAACAAAGAGGGGCCCCUGUGGGAAAGUAACUAAAACACUUGGAAUGAUUAAAAGUUUGGUC